GUGAAGCGGCAAAUUACAAUGAUCAUUGGAUUUCUUCUGCAAUUCAAUCACUGAAGAAGGCAUCACCUACAAGCCUUAGAAUUUCUCUAAGAUCGGCAUGUUACUAGUCCUAAAUGAAAUUG